rnacentral:rRNA from 1 species
AGUGGCGGACGGGUGAGUAACACGUAGGUAACCUGCCCCGGAGCGGGGGACAACAAUUGGAAACAGAUGCUAAUACCGCAUAACAACGAAAGCCACAUGGCUUUUGUUUGAAAGAUGGCUUUGGCUAUCACUCUGGGAUGGACCUGCGGUGCAUUAGCUAGUUGGUAAGGUAACGGUUUACCAAGGCGAUGAUGCACAGCCGAGUUGAGAGACUGAUCGGCCACAAUGGAACUGAGACACGGUCCAUACUCCUACGGGAGGCAGCAGUAGGGAAUCUUCCACAAUGGGCGCAAGCCUGAUGGAGCAACACCGCGUGAGUGAAGAAGGGUUUCGGCUCGUAAAGCUCUGUUGUUGGAGAAGAACGUGCGUGAGAGUAACUGUUCACGCAGUGACGGUAUUCAACCAGAAAGUCACGGCUAACUACGUGCCAGCAGCCGCGGUAAUACGUAGGUGGCAAGCGUUAUCCGGAUUUAUUGGGCGUAAAGCGAGCGCAGGCGGUUGCUUAGGUCUGAUGUGAAAGCCUUCGGCUUAACCGAAGAAGUGCAUCGGAAACCGGGCAACUUGAGUGCAGAAGAGGACAGUGGAACUCCAUGUGUAGCGGUGGAAUGCGUAGAUAUAUGGAGGAACACCAGUGGCGAAGGCGGCUGUCUGGUCUGCAACUGACGCUGAGGCUCGAAAGCAUAGGUAGCGAACAGGAUUAGAUACCCUGGUAGUCCAUGCCGUAAACGAUGAGUGCUAGGUGU